UACGUAGGGUGCAAGCGUUAUCCGGAAUUAUUGGGCGUAAAGAGCUCGUAGGCGGUUUGUCGCGUCUGCUGUGAAAACUGGAGGCUCAACCUCCAGCUUGCAGUGGGUACGGGCAAACUAGAGUGCGGUAGGGGAGAUUGGAAUUCCUGGUGUAGCGGUGGAAUGCGCAGAUAUCAGGAGGAACACCCGUGGCGAAGGCGGCUCUCUGGGACGGUACUGACGCUGAGACGCGAAAGCGUGGGGAGCAAACAGG
rnacentral:rRNA from 1 species